GGCGGCUCAGUGGAAGAGCGCUUGCCUGGCAUGCAUGAGGCCCUGGGUUCAAUUCCUCAGCACCA
rnacentral:tRNA from 1 species